AAAGACAGUCACAUGGGAAAAUUUAAAGACUUUUAACAGCAAACCUAUGAAAUAGGUCUCUGGCCCCUAGUUCAGAAUGUUCUCCAUUGUCCUGGCUGAUGAGUGUAUUGCCAUUUAUUUCAAGGCAGAAGAAUGAAGCUUGAGAUUGUCAGAAAUAUAUAGGGAAAGUUUUUAGGUUUUCAUUGUAAAUACAGGAAGUAGUGCAAUACACUUCUCAUUUCAGUAAAUAAGGCAAAAUUAGAAGUUAUGUCAUACAUUAAUGUCUUCAGUUUAAAAAGUCUUAUCACUAUAAAAUGAGAAACAAGUAAUUCUAGUUUAUUUCAACAAAAUCUUGAGGACCGUAUGAAAGAGAACAUCUGCUCUGCCAGAAGUGAAAAGACCAGAAACCUAGAAUGCUCUGAUCAUGAUGUGCUCUUAGCAGCACAAAAUAGAGGCUGGUUGGCUCUGUGUAAUCCUUGAGCUUUAGGUAUGUGUUGUUCGGACUGCCUUUCUCUAAGCUGAUAUCCCUGACAAUGAGAGAAAAACUGAAUUUUGAUUUUAAAACUAUAAUCUGGAACCCAGCAUUCCUGUGGCCUAGCUACAUUUUUUUU
rnacentral:lncRNA from 10 species